AUUACCGUGACCUCAGACAGAUCCGUUAUUGGAAACCUGGUCUCUUACAAUCAUCAGAAUUUACAUAGAUAAGGUCACUUUAUAUGUUAAUUAUCAUUAAAAAGUAUUUUAAUUAAUUCUCCCCAAAAGCAGAUUUGAUUUCAUUAUGGUUUUUCAAAACAGUACUUUUAAAUAAUUUACGGCAGCACUAUGAGAUUACAGCUACAGAUUUCAUUCUGGAUUGAUAUUCAAACUGACAGCUACAUUAAUGUUGGUAACUCGAAAAUGUUCGCUCAUGCUUGAUAAAUAAAUGGUGUAGAAUUCAGGGGGCUAAAAAAACAUAGGCAUCAGGCACUGUACUCUCUAUGAUGAUGUGCACAGAAUCUUUCUUAUGAACACCUAGAAAUUAGGAUAAUUAAGAGCAGUAAUUGUGUUUCCUCUUUUGUUUUCGAUUUCCAAAGCGUUCCAUGUUUUCUAAAGUGUACUAUUUCAAUAUAGUAUUUCUCCCUAAAUUUGAAUUCUUGUUGCCCGUUUUUUAGGAUCUGUCUUAUAUGGGACUACAAAGCACAAUUUAACACCAAAAAUCAUCUUUAGACUAAUG